rnacentral:rRNA from 1 species
GACGAACGCUGGCGGCGUGCUUUACACAUGCAAGUCGAACGGUGAAGGUGGAGCUUGCUCCGCCGGAUCAGUGGCGAACGGGUGAGUAACACGUGGGCAACCUGCCCCUAACUUUGGGAUAACUACUCGAAAGAGUAGCUAAUACCGGAUACGAAGUCUGUAGGCAUCUACGGAUUUGGAAAGUUUUUCGGUUAGGGAUGGGCCCGCGGCCUAUCAGCUUGUUGGUGAGGUAGUGGCUCACCAAGGCGACGACGGGUAGCCGGCCUGAGAGGGCGACCGGCCACACUGGGACUGAGACACGGCCCAGACUCCUACGGGAGGCAGGAGUUGGGAAGAUUGCGCAAUGGGCGAAAGCCUGACGCAGCAACGCCGCGUGCGGGAUGAAGGCCUUCGGGUUGUAAACCGCUUUCAGCAGGGAAGAAGCGAAAGUGACGGUACCUGCAGAAGAAGCACCGGCUAACUACGUGCCAGCCGCCGCGGUAA